GAUGAACGCUAGCUACAGGCUAACACAUGCAAGUCGAGGGGUAACGAGAGGGAAGCUUGCUUUCCUUGUCGACGACCGGCGCACGGGUGAGUAACGCGUAUCCAACCUGCCCCCAACUAGGGAAUAACCUUGCGAAAGUAAGACUAAUACCCUAUAAUUUCCUCAGAUGACAUCUGACGAGGAAUAAAGAUUUAUCGGUUGUGGAUGGGGAUGCGUCUGAUUAGCUUGUUGGCGGGGUAACGGCCCACCAAGGCAACGAUCAGUAGGGGUUCUGAGGGGAAGGUCCCCCACAUUGGAACUGAGACACGGUCCAAACUGCUACGGGAGGCAGCAGUGAGGAAUAUUGGUCAAUGGGCGGAAGCCUGAACCAGCCAAGUAGCGUGCAGGAUGACGGCCCUAUGGGUUGUAAACUGCUUUUAUACAGGAAUAAAGUGAGCCUCGUGAGGCUUUUUGCAUGUACCUUAUGAAUAAGGACCGGCUAAUUCCGUGCCAGCAGCCGCGGUAA
rnacentral:rRNA from 1 species